rfam:Alkalitalea saponilacus strain DSM 24412 genome assembly, contig: LV88DRAFT_scaffold00066.66
CCUAUUGUUCCGUCAAUAGUACCUUACCGGGACACCGGAUGUAUGGUGAAGCCAUUAUCGGGUGAAGCUCCCGGGACAAUGUUCCUAAUCAUGACACGUGUGUCAAUAUGAGGGUAUGAAAUUCGUGAGAAAAGUAAUGCCUCCGAUGCUUCCUAAGUUGGUUGAAGGG